GAUGAAGAACGUAGCGAAAUGCGAUACGUAAUGUGAAUUGCAGAAUUCAGUGAAUCAUCGAGUCUUUGAACGCACAUUGCGCCCUCUGGUAUUCCGGAGGGCAUGCCUGUCCGAGCGUCAUUGCUGCCCUCAAGCACGGCUUGUGUGUUGGGCCCCGCCCCCCGAUCCCGGGGGGCGGGCCCGAAAGGCAGCGGCGGCACCGCGUCCGGUCCUCGAGCGUAUGGGGCUUUGUCACCCGCUCUGUAGGCCCGGCCGGCGCCUGCCGAUCAACCAAACUUUUUUCCAGGUUGACCUCAGAUCAGGUAGGGAUACCCGCUGAACUUAAGCAUAUCAAUAAGCGGAGGA
rnacentral:misc_RNA from 1 species